rnacentral:rRNA from 1 species
UACGUAGGGUGCAAGCGUUAAUCGGAAUUACUGGGCGUAAAGCGUGCGCAGGCGGUUGUGCAAGACCGAUGUGAAAUCCCCGGGCUUAACCUGGGAAUGGCAUUGGUGACUGUACGGCUAGAGUGUGUCAGAGGGGGGUAGAAUUCCACGUGUAGCAGUGAAAUGCGUAGAGAUGUGGAGGAAUACCGAUGGCGAAGGCAGCCCCCUGGGAUAACACUGACGCUCAUGCACGAAAGCGUGGGGAGCAAACAG